AGCUCGUCGUGCUAGAGCGAUCUUUCAAUGGGCUCCCCAAUGACAAAGCGACGACGCAUUCAUAUGUAAUCCAUAUCAACUUUCGAUACCAUUUACUGCGCCUACCAUGGUGACCACAGGUAACGGGGAAUCAGGGUUCGAUUCCGGAAAGGAAGCCUGAGAAACGGCCACCACAUGCAAGGAAGGCAGCGGGCUGCAAAUGACCCAAUGCGGGAAGGUAG